rnacentral:tRNA from 2 species
GCAUUGGUGGUUCAGUGGUAGAAUUCUUGCCCUCUAUGCAGGAGACCUGGGUUUGAUUCCCAGCCGAUACA